rnacentral:RNase_MRP_RNA from 15 species
UGUCGCAGCGCACUGACGGGGAGCUUGCUCCUACACAUGCUGCGUGGAAAGUCCCCGUGCCGCAAGGCAGAAAGUGCCAGCGGGAGACCGCACAGCCCCAGCAUUGGCGGAAGUGGUGAGACCUUUGGUUGAACUGCAGAGCCGUGCUUUGGCCAUUUGCAAAAGCACAGUUAUAUCGUGAGUGCCCAGAGGAGGGUACUAACUGAACGGGGCUCACUCUCC